rnacentral:rRNA from 1 species
UUUGAUCCUGGCUCAGGAUGAACGCUGGCGGCGUGCUUAACACAUGCAAGUCGAACGAUGAAGCCCAGCUUGCUGGGUGGAUUASUGGCGAACGGSUGAGUAACMCGUGAGUAMCCUGCCCUUAACUCUGGGAUAAGCCUGGGAAACURGGUCUAAUACCGGAUAGGAGCGCYACGCAUGGUGGGUGUUGGAAAGAUUUAUCGGUUUUGGAUGGACUCGCGGCCUAUCAGCUYGUUGGUGAGGUAAKGGCUCACCAAGSCGACGACGGGUAGCCGGCCUGAGAGGGUGACCGGCCRYWCWGGGACUGAGACACGGCCCARACUCCUACGGGAGGCAGCAGUGGGGAAUAUUGCACAAUGGGCGMAAGCCUGAUGCAGCGACGCCGCGUGAGGGAUGAC